ACAGCCCAAUAGCCCUCCAAGUCCAAAAAAGGAAAAAAGAAUGGGCGACUUGGCGUUUGAUUAACGAGUUGUGAACGGCCUACAGCUACAGUAACUAGAUCAAUAUUAACGUCAACAGAUUCCAGUGUACUUCUCGUCGAUUAGGCUUUCAUGGAUUUGCAUCUUCCAACGAGUUUCAAUGCUGCAGCUUCGUUCUUUGCUUUUUGAAAGUGGAAUCAAGGAGGGCAAUCACUUGCAUGUUCAUCUGUUUCUGUAACUGGAUAACUGGUUGGAAAAUUCCAGAUGAAGUGUGGGGGACAAGUACUUUGGGCCACCUGUUAGUGCACUGCCCUUGUUUCUUAGGUCAUUCCAACAAGAGUGCCUUCAUUCGCAAGCAGAUUCGGGCCUUAGGAAAGAUCAUGCAUUGGGGCCACCAGCAAAGGCACCAUGGCCUUCGAAGUUGAAAGAUACAUAGGUAGGCCCAUUGAAUUUGUACCUCAAAAAUAGAGGUAGGCUCGUUGUGACGCGCUUUGUUCCAUGAGGCCCCCCCCACCCCUCCUCAGUCGUCACCAAUGUUUGUGCCCUUAACAGAGAAUGUGCCCUCCAGCCAAGGGCACCUGUCUUUUUUUCACACGGGCCAAUCGAAACGACAGACACGUCUCCUAUUU